GUGCUCACUUCGGCAGCAUAGAGACUAAAAUUGGAACGAUACAGAGAAGGUUAGCAUGGUCCCUGCACAAGGCUGACAUGCAAAUUCAUGAAACGUUCCAGAUUUUU
ensembl:snRNA U6 U6 spliceosomal RNA